UUUCUAUCCUUAUUUGGUUUCCAAUAUAGGAUGCAUUUUCAGGAAUUCAAGAGGUAUUAAAAGAAGACAAAAUAUAUAUUAGGGCUCAGCCAUCUUGUUCUAUUUCUAAGAUGAAGGAGCACGUGAAUGGAAAUGCAAAGUUACAGCAGUUCAAUGACAAAGGAAAACUUUUUCACAAAUCUGAAAGGACUGUGUAGGCCUGAAUCAGAAAAAGUGAAGUUUCAUCGAAAGUGAAGGAAAGUGGGGCUUACUCCUUCAUAUGCAUCUGGAACUGGCAGGGCAUCAGAGAGCAGGCACAAGACUAACAGUGGAACCAUUCUGGGCAACAUUGUCUUAAGAGACACACUACAAAUUCCAAAGAAUGCCUCUCUUUGAAACAAGGGGGAAAAAACCUGUUUAACUUGAGGGAAUGUGAAUGGAUUCCCUUAAACUGAAAGAAAAAUUGUCUUUCCUUAAAAACCAACUAUUUUGAGAAGUCUUUGAAUAUUUAAAUGAGAUUCAAUUUCUAAAAGGUCAUCAGUGAGAUGAGAAAUGUUUCCUUUCUAAAAAACGUUUUACUUCCAACAAACCAGAUAUAACAU
rnacentral:lncRNA from 1 species